rnacentral:rRNA from 1 species
UACGUAGGGGGCAAGCGUUGUCCGGAUUUAUUGGGCGUAAAGAGCGUGUAGGCGGCCAGACAGGUCCGUUGUGAAAACUGGAGGCUCAACCUCCAGACGUCGAUGGAAACCGUCUGGCUAGAGUCCGGGAAGAGGAGAGUGGAAUUCCUGGUGUAGCGGUGAAAUGCGCAGAUAUCAGGAAGAACACCCGUGGCGAAAGCGGCUCUCUGGGACGGUACUGACGCUGAGACGCGAAAGCGUGGGGAGCGAACAGGG